UCGACCUGAGAUCAGGCAAGGCUACCCGCUGAACUUAAGCAUAUCAAUAAGCGGAGGAAAAGAAACU
rnacentral:rRNA from 1 species